CCUACGGGGGGCUGCAGUGGGGAAUAUUGGACAAUGGGGGGAACCCUGAUCCAGCCAUGCCGCGUGUGUGAAGAAGGCCCUCGGGUUGUAAAGCACUUUCAGUGAGGAAGAACGCCUGGUGGUUAAUACCCAUCAGGAAAGACAUCACUCACAGAAGAAGCACCGGCUAACUCCGUGCCAGCAGCCGCGGUAAUACGGAGGGUGCGAGCGUUAAUCGGAAUUACUGGGCGUAAAGCGCGCGUAGGUGGCUUGAUAAGCCGGUUGUGAAAGCCCCGGGCUCAACCUGGGAACGGCAUCCGGAACUGUCAAGCUAGAGUGCAGGAGAGGAAGGUAGAAUUCCCGGUGUAGCGGUGAAAUGCGUAGAGAUCGGGAGGAAUACCGGUGGCGAAGGCGGCCCUCUGGACUGACACUGACACUGAGGUGCGAAAGCGUGGGUAGCAAACAGGAUUAGAUAUCCUAGUAGUC
rnacentral:rRNA from 1 species